GGGUUUUUUUUAGAUUUUCCCGUCGACGACGCUGUUGCGGGUUUACCACAGUCGACGAGACCGCUUCGGCGGCGAUAGUGGCGAACGGUGAGUACACGUGGCAAUUGCCUGCCUCUGGACAAGCCUGAAACGGGUCUAAUCCGGAUAGACCGUCCCCGCAUGGGGAUGGUGUAAAGCUCCGGCGGUGCAGGAUGAGCCCGCGGCCUAUCAUCUUGUUGGUGAGGUAGUGGCUCACCAAGGCGACGACGGGUAGCCGGCCUGAGAGGGCGACCGGCCACUCUGGGACUGAGACACGGCCCAGACUCCUACGGGAGGCAGCAGUGGGGAAUAUGCACAAUGGGGAAAGCCUGAUGCAGCGACGCCGCGUGAGGGAUGACGCCUUCGGGUUGUAAACCUCUUUCAGCAGGGAAGAAGCGAAAGUGACGGUACCUGCAGAAGAAGCGCCGGCUAACUACGUGCCAGCAGCCGCGGUAAUACGUAGGGCGCAAGCGUUGUCCGGAAUUAUUGGGCGUAAAGAGCUCGUAGGCGGCUUGUCACGUCGGUUGUGAAAGCCCGGGGCUUAACCCCGGGUCUGCAGUCGAUACGGGCAGGCUAGAGUUCGGUAGGGGAGAUCGGAAUUCCUGGUGUAGCGGUGAAAUGCGCAGAUAUCAGGAGGAACACCGGUGGCGAAGGCGGAUCUCUGGGCCGAUACUGACGCUGAGGAGCGAAAGCGUGGGGAGCGAACAGGAUUAGAUACCCUGGUAGUCCACGCCGUAAACGGUGGGCACUAGGUGUGGGCAACAUUCCACGUUGUCCGUGCCGCAGCUAACGCAUUAAGUCCUCCGCCCUGGGAGUCCGCCACCGC
rnacentral:rRNA from 1 species